AGAGGGGAGGAGAAGCAAAAUGGCUGCUGACGUAUACCCGAGUUUUAGUUUCCAGCCACAAGUAGCCAUGAUUUCAUAAGAGUUUGUCCCUUUGGACUUUUCUCCUGCCACACUCUGUAUCCAAGGAAAACAAGAGGCGACUUGCCUAGAAACAGCUCUGUCAACAGUGCCCGCCACCUCCACCUCCUCUGCUGGAAACGAAACAGGUAAAAGCAUCCGUGAGCAGCGGGACCCGUCACGUGACCACAGCACGCAUGGAGACGAGCGUGACAAUCAGUCACAUAGGGGCAGCGCCCCAAGCCCCUCCACAGGCAGGGAGGCGUCCCUAACAUCUUAGACCAAGCCAAUAGAAAGCAUCUGCGGUCAGACCCCACCCCACCGCAAAAUGUACUUAAGAACCUGUUCAGAAGGAGUACAGUUGUGAGAAUUACUCCAUCAAGGGUUUUCUGAGAACUUCUGUCUUAUAAGAGCUGUAACACUUCCUAGUCCCUUUGUUGCUGGAAGCUGUCCCUGGCCAACCAAACACAGUCACUGGUUUCUAGCUACACACCCUCCCCCAAGGUUGGCUGUUUUGCAGCGUCUCACAGCUUCCGACCUACUCCAGAGUUGCUUUGGCGGCUUGAGCUUGCGCCAGCCUGACUGCAGUGCCUAGCCGGUCUAGAGUAACAGCAGCCGCAGAAGAGAGCAGCAACUGCCUCAAUCCAACGGAGAGUGCAACUCCUUGACUGGUCCAGCUGGGCCAGAGCCUUCCCCCAACCCCCAUCUCCGUGGUUAGCAUCCAGUAUACAGACUGGCAAAUAUAUAUAUUUAUCAAGUU